UUGAAUGGGAAACCUAAAGUUCCCAUGGCAAACUGCUCAGUAACACAUGAUCAACUUAACCUAUAGAGAAAAAUAACCUCGGGAAACUGAGGAUAAUGUUUCAUAGUUGAAUUGGCUUGGAAAAGUUUUUCGAUAAAAGGGGUAAAAAAAAUGGUUUUUAUCUGCUAUAGGAUAGGAUCGUGUUCGAUUAUGGUUGUUGGUGAGGUAAUGGCUCACCAAGCCGAUAAUCGAUAGGGGCCGUGAGAGCGGGAGCCCCGAGAUGGGUACUGAGACAACGACCCAGGCCUUACGAGGCGCAGCAGGCGCGAAACCUCCGCAAUACACGAAAGUGUGACGGGGUUACCCAAAGUGUUCAUUAGAACUGUGGUAGGUGGGUAAUGUUCCCUACUAGAAAGGAGAGGGCAAGGCUGGUGCCAGCCGCCGCGGUAAAACCAGCUCUUCAAGUGGUCGGGAUAAUUAUUGGGCUUAAAGUGUCCGUAGCCGGUUUAGUAAGUUCCUGGUAAAAUCGGGUAGCUUAACUAUCUAUAUGCUAGGAAUACUACUAUACUAGAGGGCGGGAGAGGUCUGAGGUACUACAGGGGUAGGGGUGAAAUCUUAUAAUCCUUAUUGGACCACCAGUGGCGAAGGCGUCAGACUGGAACGCGCCUGACGGUGAGGGACGAAAGCCAGGGGAGCGAACCGGAUUAGAUACCCGGGUAGUCCUGGCCGUAACGAUGCAUACUAGGUGAUGGCACGGCCAUGAGCCGUGUCAGUGCCGUAGGGAAACCGUUAAGUGUGCCGCCUGGGAAGUACGGUCGCAAG
rnacentral:rRNA from 1 species